rnacentral:rRNA from 1 species
AUGUCGGUCGCCGUGGCGGCCGCCUCCUCCUACCUCCCCUCUCGCUACGCACUGGGCCACGCCAACUCGCACCGCCCUCUCCGCCCCCUGCGCUUCAUCUCUUCCCCGCCGCAGCCGUGCGCCUCCCCAGCGUCGCUCCUCCGGCGGCGGCGGGCGGCGGCGCCCACCACCUUCUGCUCCGCGCCGUCGCUCGGCCGCGUCGGCUGGCCGCGCCGCGAGGGGAGCGCCUGGCUGCUCUCCUUCAGCGCCGAGGCCGAUGCCUCCCCGUCGGACGCGGAGGGGGCCGUGGACCCCUCCGAGGCGGUCUCCGCGCUGCUCCCGCUCGUCGUCGUCGCCACGGCCGUCGCCGCCCUCGGCAACCCUGCCACUUUCUCCUGGGUCUCCAAGGAGCUGUACGCACCUGCACUCGGAGGCAUCAUGCUCUCCAUUGGCAUCAAACUAUCCUUCGACGACUUCGCUCUGGCCUUCAAGAGGCCAGUGCCGCUGUCGAUUGGAUACAUGGCACAGUACAUGCUCAAGCCUCUGCUGGGAGUGCUGAUCGCAAGGGUGUUCCGGAUGCCAUCGGCCUUCUUCGCGGGUUUCAUGCUUACAUGCUGCGUCUCGGGCGCGCAGCUUUCGAGCUAUGCCAGCUUCCUGGGGAAAGGAGAUGUUGCGUUGAGUAUUCUGCUCACAACCUACUCCACCAUAUCUUCGGUGAUUGUGACACCUAUCCUCACUGGUUUGUUGAUUGGUUCAGUGGUUCCGGUUAAUGGAAUUGCAAUGGCGAAAUCGAUUCUCCAGGUGGUUCUUCUGCCUGUGACACUAGGUCUCCUUCUGAAUACCUAUGCAAAACCAGUGGUUAAUGUCAUACAACCAGUGAUGCCAUUUGUUGCUAUGGUGUGCACAUCACUCUGUAUUGGGAGCCCUCUUGCUAUAAAUAGGACCAUGCUCCUCUCAUCACAGGGAUUCAUGUUACUUCUCCCCAUAGUGACUUUCCACAUUGCGGCCUUUGUUGUGGGUUACUGGGUUUCCAAGUUGCCUCAGUUGAGGCAAGAAGAGCCUGUUUGUAGGACUAUUUCAGUGUGUACUGGAAUGCAGAGCUCCACCCUAGCUGGACUUCUUGCUACGCAAUUUCUUGGAAUCAGCCAGGCAGUUCCUGCAGCAUGUUCUGUUGUUGUCAUGGCAAUAUUUGGUUUGACUCUUGCAUCGUACUGGGGAAGUGGCAUGCGAAUAAGAGACAUUCCUUCGAGAUUCUUCCCACAAGCUUCCGCUGAUGCAAGAUCGUGA